GUGAACGGAGCACACGAGGAUGGCAGGUGACCAGAUGGCAGUCCAGGACCGUUUGUACCUGCAUGAGAGGAACACUGCUGCAGGAACGCAUGACCCAACGAGGCCAGCUGGAGAAGAUGAGGAGGUGCGGGAGGUGGGAUUUCAACUGAGAACAGCAGCGUGAGUCAGUGUGAACGAUACAGAGAUGGGGGCAGAUUCAGGAACCGGGCAUCAGACUUAGACCUUCUGCCUGCUAGCCAGGCACUCUACCACUGAGCCACAGCCCCGGGCAGGAUUCCAGUUUUCACAUCACUAAAACAGCCUGGUGUUGGAAGAUAAACAGGACAAAGGGGGUGAAGAUGUAGAAUUCGGCUCCUCCUGUACC
rnacentral:sRNA from 1 species